rnacentral:rRNA from 1 species
AUGGCUGAAGGAUUCCUUGAUAGGCAAUGGGGACGUUUGGAUGAGGUAGCAGAGAACUGUAUCAAUGAACUCGUUAAUAGAAAUCUGAUCCAGCCAAUUGAUAUUUAUGAUGAUGGUACUGUGAAAUAUUGUCGAGUCCAUGAUAUGGUGCUUGACCUUAUCAUAUCUUUAUCAGAUGAAGAGAAUUUUGCCACUGUUUUAAAUGGGCGUGCAUACAAUUCAUUUCCAAACAAGAUUCGACGUCUGUCCAUGCAAUUUAGUGGCAAAGAGCAUAAUGGCGCAGUCUGUGCGAUUACAGAAACCAAGAUAUAUGUUCGCUCACUGACUACCUUUCCGCAAUUUGAGCAGAUACCCCACAUUGUCCUUGUGGACUUCCAUGCUUUGCGGGUGUUGGAUCUUGCAAGAUGUUAUUGGUUGGAAAACAAGCAUGUAAAACAUAUAGGAAGCUCACGUCAUCUGAGGUAUUUGAGAAUUGGCAGUGGGAAAAUUACUGAGCUUCCUGAUGAAAUUGGAAAGCUGCAGCACUUAGAGACUCUCGAUUUGAGAUACUGUUAUUCACUUCUAAGACUGCCAUCAACCAUGGCGCAGUUGCGGAAAUUGGUGCGCCUAUCUGUCAGCAAUGCAACACAAUUACCUGCAAGUGGGUUCCGGAGUCUACAGGCCUUGGAGGAGUUACGCUUCUGGAAAACUGACGACCCAGUGAGAUUUGCGGAGGAAGUAAAUGAGUCGGGCAAAUGCAACCUUCGCCAUCUUCGUAUUGGUGGAGAGAUAGCCGAGCGUCUGUUCUGUAACCCAUACAGCACCUACCCGUGCCUCCAAGUUCUUAAAAUUAUGUCAAAUAUUGGAAUGGUUCCCAGGGGAAUGGCCUCCCUCAAGAAUCUCGUGAAACUAUGCAUAAGGGUCUGGGAGUUUGAUAAUGAGGGUCUCCAAGUCCUCAUGGGCAUGCCUUCUAUGGCCCAUCUUCAGCUACUCGUUAUACAGGACAUCAAAGAAAAGCUGACCGUGGGUAGUAAUGGAUUCAAACUGCUAAAGGUGUUCCACUUCCUAUAUAAUAGGCCAGCCACUCCUUUUGUAUUUAAACAUACAGCAAGCGGUGGACUGCGCAUCUCAGAAAAAAAAACAGAUGGACUACGGCUAACAUUUGCUCCAGGUGCUGUGCCAGCACUCCGACGGUUUUGUCUUGACUUGAACCCCAUGAUUGUGGCAUCAGACUUUUUAGUACACUUGGGUGUGGAGCAUCUUUCAGGCGUUGCACAGCUCGAGGUCAAAAUCGAUUGUUACAGAGCAGUCCUAGGCAGGGUGGAGGCCCUGGAGUCUUCCAUUGAAAAAGCAAUCAACCUGCACCCCAACCGUGAAAUCUUUGUCCACAGAGUCUCUGAAGAUUUUAUGUUUAAGGAUGAAAAGGAGUGGAAAGAGGCUGUCUUGAAGGAAAGAAAGGAGAUGGAAAAUUUUUGUAGGUGA